rnacentral:rRNA from 1 species
AUUGAACGCUGGCGGCAUGCCUUACACAUGCAAGUCGAACGGUAACAGGUCUUCGGAUGCUGACGAGUGGCGAACGGGUGAGUAAUACAUCGGAAUCUGCCUGAUAGUGGGGGACAACGUUUCGAAAGGAACGCUAAUACCGCAUACGUCCUACGGGAGAAAGCAGGGGGCCUUCGGGCCUUGCGCUAUCAGAUGAGGCUAGGUCGGAUUAGCUAGUUGGUGAGGUAAUGGCUCACCAAGGCGACGAUCCGUAACUGGUCUGAGAGGAUGAUCAGUCACACUGGAACUGAGACACGGUCCAGACUCCUACGGGAGGCAGCAGUGGGGAAUAUUGGACAAUGGGCGAAAGCCUGAUCCAGCCAUGCCGCGUGUGUGAAGAAGGUCUUCGGAUUGUAAAGCACUUUAAGUUGGGAGGAAGGGCAGUAAGCUAAUACCUUGCUGUUUUGACGUUACCGACAGAAUAAGCACCGGCUAACUCUGUGCCAGCCGCCGCCGUAAGAC